AGGAUGAACGCUGGCGGCGUGCCUAACACAUGCAAGUCGAACGCUCUCCAUUCGGUAGCAAUACCGAUGAAGAGGGAGUGGCGAACGGGUGAGUACCACGUGAGCAACCUGCCCCGAAGACUGGGACAACACCGGGAAACCGGUGCUAAUACCGGAUAUCCCUAUCGGACCGCAUGAUCUGAUAAGGAAAUGGAUUCCGCUUCGGGAGGGGCUCGCGGCCUAUCAGCUAGUUGGUGAGGUAACGGCCCACCAAGGCGACGACGGGUA
rnacentral:rRNA from 1 species